UACAGAGGGGGCAAGCGUUGUUCGGAAUUACUGGGCGUAAAGGGCUCGUAGGCGGCCAACUAAGUCGGAUGUGAAAUCCCCAGGCUUAACCUGGGAACUGCAUCCGAUACUGGAUGGCUUGAAUUCGGGAGAGGGAUGCAGAAUUCCACAUGUAGAGGUGAAAUUCGUAGAUAUUGGGAAGAACACCGGUGGCGAAGGCGGCUAUCUGGACCGACAUUGACGCUGAGGCGCGAAAGCGUGGGGAGCAAACAGG
rnacentral:rRNA from 1 species